CUCUCUUUGUUUUGUGUUUGUCUGUGGAGAGUACAUGCAAAACAGUGAACUUUGAGAAUUAGAUAGAGAAACAAGGGAGUUUGAAGGUUCUAGUUUCAAUUUGCAAAAGCUGCCCAACAAGUACUAUUGUUGUUUUUUCUGUUUUGCUUCUUAUCCACCUUCUAAGACUUGCUCUUGAUUUUGUGGAAGAAGAAGAAAGACAUCUGAUAGAAGGGUUGAGAUUGAGUGCUUGUUGGUUGGUGCUGGUGUUGUUGCAGAGACAUGUUGGACGGCCGUUCCUGUGUGGUUCCGAGGUUGUUUCCCAGCUCCUACCAGGCUUAACGCUCUGAUUCUGAGUUGCUUGCUCAUGUCUUUCCAAGGCUUUUGAUAGUUAU